AUUAAACGCUGGCGGCAUGCCUUACACAUGCAAGUCGAACGGCAGCGCGGGAGCAAUCCUGGCGGCGAGUGGCGAACGGGUGAGUAAUAUAUCGGAACGUGCCCAGUAGUGGGGGAUAGCCCGGCGAAAGCCGGAUUAAUACCGCAUGAGACCUGAGGGUGAAAGCGGGGGAUCGCAAGACCUCGCGCUACUGGAGCGGCCGAUAUCAGAUUAGCUAGUUGGUGGGGUAAAGGCCUACCAAGGCAACGAUCUGUAGUUGGUCUGAGAGGACGACCAGCCACACUGGGACUGAGACACGGCCCAGACUCCUACGGGAGGCAGCAGUGGGGAAUUUUGCGCAAUGGACGAAAGUCUGACGCAGCCACGCCGCGUGAGUGAAGAAGGCCUUC
rnacentral:rRNA from 1 species